CCAGACUCCUACGGGAGGCAGCAGUGGGGGAUAUUGCACAAUGGGGGGAACCCUGAUGCAGCGACGCCGCGUGGGUGAAGGAGCGUUUCGGCGCGUAAAGCCCUAUCGGCAGGGAAGAAGGAGGACGGUACCUGACUAAGAAGCCCCGGCUAACUACGUGCCAGCAGCCGCGGUAAUACGUAGGGGGCAAGCGUUAUCCGGAUUCACUGGGUGUAAAGGGAGCGUAGACGGCGACGCAAGUCUGGAGUGAAAGCCCGGGGCCCAACCCCGGGACUGCUCUGGAAACUGUACGGCUGGAGUGCAGGAGAGGUAAGUGGAAUUCCUAGUGUAGCGGUGAAAUGCGCAGAUAUUAGGAGGAACACCAGUGGCGAAGGCGGCUUACUGGACUGUAACUGACGUUGAGGCUCGAAAGCGUGGGGAGCAAACAGGAUUAGAUACCCGCGUACG
rnacentral:rRNA from 1 species